UACGUAGGGGGCAAGCGUUGUCCGGAAUCAUUGGGCGUAAAGCGCGUGUAGGCGGCCCGGUAAGUCCGCUGUGAAAGUCGGGGGCUCAACCCUCGGAUGCCGGUGGAUACUGUCGGGCUAGAGUGCGGGAGAGGCGAGUGGAAUUCCUGGUGUAGCGGUGAAAUGCGCAGAUAUCAGGAGGAACACCAAUUGCGAAGGCAGCUCGCUGGAACGUUACUGACGCUGAGACGCGAAAGCGUGGUGAGCAAACAGG
rnacentral:rRNA from 1 species